ACGCUGGCGGCGUGCUUAACACAUGCAAGUCGAACGGAAAGGCCCUUUCGGGGGUACUCGAGUGGCGAACGGGUGAGUAACACGUGGGUGAUCUGCCCUGCACUUUGGGAUAAGCCUGGGAAACUGGGUCUAAUACCGAAUAUUUCCUUUUGGUCGCAUGGCUGGGAGGGGAAAGCUUUUGCGGUGUGGGAUGGGCCCGCGGCCUAUCAGCUUGUUGGUGAGGUUAUGGCUUACCAAGGCGACGACGGGUAGCCGGCCUGAGAGGGUGACCGGCCACACUGGGACUGAGAUACGGCCCAGACUCCUACGGGAGGCAGCAGUGGGGAAUAUUGCACAAUGGGCGCAAGCCUGAUGCAGCGACGCCGCGUGGGGGAUGACGGCCUUCGGGUUGUAAACCUCUUUCAAUAGGGACGAAGCGUAAGUGACGGUACCUAUAGAAGAAGGACCGGCCAAC
rnacentral:rRNA from 1 species